rnacentral:rRNA from 1 species
UUCGGAUUGGAGUCUGCAACUCGACUCCAUGAAGCUGGAUUCGCUAGUAAUCGCGCAUCAGCCAUGGCGCGGUGAAUACGUUCCCGGGCCUUGUACACACCGCCCGUCAAGCCAUGGGAGUCGGGAGUGCCUGAAGUUCGUGACCGUCACAGGAGCGACCUAAGGCAAGACCGAUGACUGGGGCUAAGUCGUAACAAGGUACC